rnacentral:rRNA from 1 species
CCACUGAGUUUUUGAAGGGCUGCGGUAAUUUGACCGUGCAAAGGUAGCAUAAUAAGUAGUCUUUUAAUUGAAGGCUUGUAUGAACGGUUGGAUGAGGGAAAAGCUGUCUCUCUUACAAUUUAAAACUUGACUUUUAAGUGAAAAGGCUUAAAUAACGUAGUGGGACGAUAAGACCCUAUAAAACUUUAUAUGUCGUUUGCUUUUUCUUAAAAUUUUAUGUAAACUUUGAGAAGCAUUUCUCAUAUUUUGUUGGGGAGACAUUGAUAUAAGCUGUAACUGUCUAAAUAAAAUAUAUAAUAAUCAUUAGAAUUUGAUCCUUCUUUGUGGAUAAAAAGAAUAAGUUACUUUAGGGAUAACAGCGUAAUUUUUUCUGAGAGUUCUUAUCGAAGAAAAUAGUUGCGACCUCGAUGUUGAAUUAAAACUUCAAGUAGGUGUAGCCGCUUGCUGAGUAGGUCUGUUCGACCUUUAAAGUUUUACGUGAUCUGAGUU